rnacentral:rRNA from 1 species
GUGGGGAAUAUUGCACAAUGGGCGAAAGCCUGAUGCAACAACGCCGCGUGAGCGAUGAAGGCCUUUGGGUCGUAAAGCUCUGUCCUGGGGGAAGAAAAAAAUGACGGUACCCUAGGAGGAAGCCCCGGCUAACUACGUGCCAGCAGCCGCGGUAAUACGUAGGGGGCAAGCGUUAUCCGGAAUUAUUGGGCGUAAAGAGUGCGUAGGUGGUCUUGUAAGCGCGGGGUGAAAGGCUAUGGCUUAACCAUAGUAAGCCUUGCGAACUGUGAGACUUGAGUGUAGGAGAGGAAAGCGGAAUUCCUAGUGUAGCGGUGAAAUGCGUAGAUAUUAGGAGGAACACCAGUGGCGAAGGCGGCUUUCUGGACUGUAACUGACACUGAGGCACGAAAGCGUGGGGAGCAAACAGGAUUAGAUACCCUGGUAGUCC